rnacentral:rRNA from 1 species
UAGCUUAGUGGCGGACGGGUGAGUAACGCGUGAGCAACCUGCCUUUCAGAGGGGGAGUAACGUUUGGAAACGAACGCUAAUACCGCAUAAGACCACACUUCCACAUGGGAGAGGGGUCAAAGGAGCAAUCCGCUGAAAGAUGGGCUCGCGUCCGAUUAGAUAGUUGGGGGGGUAACGGCCCACCAAGUCGACGAUCGGUAGCCGGACUGAGAGGUUGAACGGCCACAUUGGGACUGAGACACGGCCCAGACUCCUACGGAAGGCAGCAG